UGAGCGCAGCCCCCGGCGCGUGUUCGCAUAGGGAACGCUGGGGCUGAGGCGGCAGGGCUCCGGACCGGAACCUGGCCUCGGCGACACCGUGGCCGCGGCAGAAACCCAGGACAGGGACCCAGGCGGGGGCUUCCGGCCCCGGUACCGUCGGAGCCCGCCGCUUCCUGCUUUGUCUCUACCUGGUGGGAUUCCUGGGCUGCUGGAGUGAUGUCGGAAGACGGUCUUCCUUGCUGGUGUGCAUCCUGUGCCGUGCCCUGGGCUAUCGUAUUCUUGGAGCAGCUACCAACGUGUUCCUGUUUGCCCUGGCUAGAGUCCCUGUGGGUUCUGAUGCCCUUCGGACCAGCCUAGGUGGCGCCUUGGGUCGGAUGCCUUCGUUCAUACGGUCGCCCCCCCGCACGGAGCCAAAGUGGCCUUUGGAGAGGAGGGGCUGGCAGAGCACGCCUGGGGCCUGGGGGCCCCCCUCUUUGCUGUGGGCAGCUGGGGAGCUGCAGGGCUGCCCUUGGCCGGAAUCAGCAUCUACCUCGUUCUUCCAUUCCAUUUUAUAGGCCUGGGGGGCUUUCUUUGAGAACUGUUCUGGCAAGAAGCGCCUGGCUCGGGGCUGCAGAUUGAGGACGGUGGUCCCGACGUCUGGAUCUGAGUCACUGCUGUUGCCACCUGCCAGGGAGCAAAAGAAGGACAGCGUGGGCGGGCCUUUUAGGGAGAAGGUGUUACAGGCGACUGGCCAAUACAUUCGUGGGUCUGGCACCUGCUGUGCCCUCCCUGGGGCUCUGGGGGUCGGGCAGGGAGGCCAGAGGGUGCACCCCGACUCCAACUGAGUCCUGGGGUUGUACAUAAGUCCCGUGAGCACGCGUGUCCACAAGUGUGUACUCUUGCUAAUUCUGAGGAGCUUCCCAUGUGCCAGCCACUGUCCUAAGCACUUUUAAGUGCAUUAACCUACUGAAUCCUCAUAAUCACCCACUUUACAUAUGAAGUAACUGAGGUUCAAAAGAUAUUAGUAAGUGGUGGAGCUGGAUGUCAAAACUGAGACCACCUGGCGGCAGCUGUGCGCUCACCUGCCCCAUCCGAACGGCCCCAGGGGGCUCAGUUCAGUGUCUGGCACACGGUAAACAGAUCAAUAAUUAGCUGCUAUUAUGAAGAUUCUUGCCUUGAUCUAGGAUGUACAAUCUCAUGCACAGCUUUAUUUCCUUUACAUUUUCAUAAAAUGGUCAAAACACCAAUAUGGCUUGCAAUCUACAUAAAGAUUACCAUCAAAUGAAGAGAUAUUAGUCGUCAUGUCAAAGCUUUAAUAAUUACAGCCAUAAGUCAAUUAUAUAGUUGCCUUUAUGAAAAUAUAUUAAAAUUAUUAUGAACAUUUAAGUUAGAAAUGUUGUAAGAAUUAUAGAAUUAAAUUAAAACCUUUGAAGACUGACAACUUUCUAUUUACCCGUUCACCAACCACACACGGUGACAUCUGCUUUUGCUAUAUCGCAUAGAAUCAAAUAACUGAUUGAAUUACGUAUAACGUGCACAGAACUCCAUUCCAAAAGGAUGCAACACUAAUAAAAGGUCACCAAAUUAUUAUUAUAGAUUUGCAAACGACUGAACUCAUUGUCCUUAAAAAAGAAGAAGGAAAAUUUUUCUAUUUUAUAAACACUAAUAAAUAAGUUUAAAGUCUUUUUGCUCCAGCUGUAUUCAAUACCUGCAUUGGAAAUAUUCUUUUUCUUUUGUAGCUUUUCUGGAAGCUUUGUAUUUUUUGGUAAGGAUAAAUAUCGGGAGGUUGAGGUGGAAGCCUGUAAAAAAAAAAAUAGAAAACCUUAUUUAGAUGACACACAUGUCAUUUAUUGUAUGUUACAGGCUUAGAAUUCUAUGUCAAAUCUAACCCUGGUGUUAAAAAUUAAAAUUUUAGCUCUGGAUUCCGAAACUACUGGGUGAGGAGCUGUAGGGAUGGGGAAUAAAUUUCCAAGUAAUAGUCAUUUUAUUUAAAAUAGGUAAAACCUCUCCUAAAAUAUGGAAAUCAGUACUACUAAGGAAAACAGAAAUAAAGUGGGACCCUUAGGAGCAAGGUAUGAAAACCACCGGCUUUUCUUAAAGAAAAGCUACAGAAACACCCACUUAUAAACGCAUUACUAAAAAAGACUUAGAACCUACAUGGAUAGGGAGAAAGAUAUAUGAAAAAUGUAGCAUGUUGUAUUUACUUUCACAAAUCUUGAAAAUGACAGAACAGAAAGUAUUACUAUAGCUAACUUGCUGGCAUUUCCAAAGCCACAGUCUCUAGUUUCUUUAACUUUUAAUCGAUGCUACCACAUUUCACAUGUAAAAAAAAAUAAUAUUGUUCACACAUAACCGUUUUGGUCUCUGACAGCUCAGUAUAGAACAUUUUUGAGAAUGAGAUGCACUGCCUGCUAUGUUUGAUCAAUCAAUCAGAAUAUCCUUUUAAAGUGGCUUCCUUAUCUAUGGCAAUGCCCUGGACCAAGUAGAAUGCUGAGCACCUGAGACUCCCCUGACGUGUGUGCGCGUGCACACACACACACACACACGGCCUCCUAGAAGUUUCCACACAUGCACGCAUGGCAGCCCCCCUUCAGGCUGCACCCUCUCCCUGGAAAGGUCAAACAAGACUCUCCAAAUGAAGCCUGGCCCUUCCAUUCAGUUUAAAACUGUAUGACCCUUCCCCAUCCUCCCAGUCUCCUUCCUCAGCCCUUUUAGGUUUAUUUUGUCCACAGCACUUGCUGUGUCUAACAUAACAGAUAAUUAUUCUGUCCAUUCCUGAUGGCCCUCUCUCCCACUAGAAUGUGAAUUCCACAAGGGAAAAGAGCUCUGUCAUUCUGUUCACCAACGUAUUCCAAGUGCCUAGACAGUGUCUGGAAGGUGACAGGUGUCCGAGCAACGUCUGCAAAGACGUGAUGAUGAACUCCAUCCCAGGAUUCCUGUGAAUCAGCCCCCCAAGGCCAUCCUCCUGGCUUUGCUGUUGGAAGCCUUCUGCGUCCCAGAGCCACGAAGCCCCCUUACCCUGUGCUCCCGAUUCAAGCUGCUGUCCUUACGAAUGCUUUCCCGAAGGCUGUGCCUUCGACGGAUCAGGAUCUCCUUGGCUUGCCUCUCACUUGUGUCGGCAGUCAGAUUGUGUCGGUUGUAGGACAAAGUCUGAAAUGAAAAUACAAGCAACAUUUUACAAAAAUGAUGAUCACUGCCCGGAAAUUCCAAAACUUUACUACAUUUCUUUGGCUUUGCACCUCUGAUAGGUACUUAACAAUGAAUGUGCACAGGGGAAAAACAAGAAGUAUAGAAGUUAACAUUCUUUCAAAUCUUGAACGAUUUCAUGUUCUACCAAAUCUCAAUUUAAGGGUAACAGUAAUUUCAAGUUAUUUGUAGAGAUAUAUGAUAUAUCGGUGUCACAGAAGCCCUUAGAACUGUGCUGGGCACAGAGAAGUGCUCAAUUGAUACUACCUACUGUUAUUAGCUAUGAUGAAGAUGGUGAUGGUGGUGGUCUUUUCUAAAUGUGUCAGAGCAGGAGCUGUAUUUUAUUCAUUUGUAUCUGCAGGGAAUAUAGUGCUUUGUUCUAUUCAUAAAUAUAUUCAAUACAUAUAUCCACACAUGUAUUCAAUAACUAUGUAUUUGAUUCAA